GAGGAGUGCCACAGUGCUUAGUAGGGAGACCACAUAGGGUAACCAUGAGUGUCAACCAAAGUCUGCUAAAUAGUUAGAUACAGUUAUACUUGUACCAGAAUGUUAUUUUGUCUUACAGACAAUUUUACACCAUUUAAGUGGCACACAUGGAACUUGCUGUGGUGUCAAUUUCAAAGGACAAGAUUCACAGGUACAGGCGUUUGGCUGAAGAUCUUGGAAGAGACUAUUGCGCACUUUGUGUGAAAGAGUCAGCUCUUGGAAAUGAGUGCGGGAGGGGCACACAUUGUCUAUUCUGAAAUGGUUAAAACAAUUCGCAUGCAGCGGCCAGUCUCAAAUGACGACUUCUGACUGAAGCAUAAAGUUGUGGGAGCUGCACAUAUAGGCCAACUGCACAUGAACCAAGUGAAUCCGACAAGUCAUGAAGUUAUGCAGAUAACACCGCAUCUGAGAAAGAACGUGUUACCCAUCACCCCCGACUCAACCCAAUACAGCUUUGAAAAAGCACAGCCUGGCUGAGGCAGUUUGGGCACUUCCCUUCUGACAACAGCCCCGAGACCAAUAUAAAUCUGACAAUAACUGACUAAUUAACACAAUAGACAACAAUACAGUUUCUUCCCGGAGUUUUACUGACUUUGUGAGUACUAAAUCCAACCAACAUCACCUAUGCAGUAGCAUAGAGCCAGCAAGCUCCCUUCCCUUCCCAGCUAUGGCUCCCCCUAGCCGUGCUUCCAUAUUUCCUUGUUUAUGCACAGCAUAAUGGCCUGACCCUCCCUUCUCUAUAACAUUAUACAGACACCACCUAGCACCUGAAAACCUAAAUUUUUCUAGAUAUAUUUUGAGAUUAAAGUCUCUAUAUACCUCAUAUUCAUCCAAUGGCACCCUAACCAUAGUGGAACAGAGCUUUUCUUACCUUUACAAAGUGCCUCUCUCUAUACCUCUCUCUCUCCAAAGUCCCAACCUCGAUAGCCUCCUUCUUCUUCCCAGAAAUCCCUGCAAAAGGGGCACUUCCAUGUAAGUUGAAUGUGUAGGGGUGCUCAUUUUGGACUCAACCAUUACUGUAAAAUACAGAAGGCCCCAGAUGCUCAGUAAGGGCCUAUUUGGGUACAUAGUCCCACAGGCGCCAACAUGUCCCUUUCAAACGGUAUGACACUGGCCCUAUAGUAAAUAACCGUCCCCUAACUCCCUCUGUCCUCCCCCCCAAUGGCUUUCACAUCAUAUGGCCCAUCCACCAGUCAUACAGCCAAUGCUGAGAAGCAAUUGUAACUUGCUGCACAAAUGAGCUCUCAGAGAGUUUCCACUGGGUUUUUGUGGAUUCACCAAGCCUUGGGGCCUCUUAGAGCUGCCCAAAAUCAUUGCUAGGGGAUAUUUUGGACACACAAAGACCCCUUUUUAUUGAAACAGACCAUUUGAAUGCAGAGGAAAAUAUUCUGGUGUGAAUAUGAUGCAAUCAAGCAAAAAGAGAGCACUGUCUCCAAGUGUCCCUCUCCAAAAGUGCAGAGAUGUAUCCACUGGGACAAGGAGCUUUCCACUCACACAAUGAGAAGGUGUGGCGGAUGACAAAUGCCAAUUUUGGGGUCCGCACUUUGAAAGCAAGUAAGCUCACUAAUUGACAGGACACAUUGCAGUGCAUAAGGGGCGUCAUGAACUCCAAAAAUCUGAGGGGGCACAAAGUAUGUGAGGAUGGCUUGGGGGUGGUCAGGAGGUGGGCUUGGCUCCUGUUCAUUCAUAUUAUUCAUUAAACAUAUUUGUCUUGCUACAGCCAUAAUCAUUACUUUUAAUUCUAUGUUAAACACUUUUGUUUUUCUGCAUAUCUAAGCAUACCUUUUGAGCUGUCUGUAUACUCCCGAUUAGUGGUUAUUCUUUAAAGAAACUAAAUAUGCUUCUCUGCAUCUCUGCUAAAAUAUGGGUAAAAUAUUGAAAAGAGUCUUAUUCAGUACAUUUAGUUAUUGCUUGCUUUUCUAAAGUCUACCAAUCUUGCCAGCAGGCAUGCCAGUGAAGAUGAUAGUUAGACAAGCUAGCUACUCUAACUUGAUUGAUUGCCUCAACCUAUCUGGGAUAGCUAAAGCCAACAUCAAAUUGCUAGGUGGCUAGUAGUUUUGAAUUGAAUUGUUUUAUUAAAUUCAGAUUGUGUGUCACUUAUCUACACAGAAUACCCCAUAAUGUCAAAGUGGAAUUGUGUUUUUAGAAAUGUUAACAAAUUAAUUUAAAAAAUAAACUUGAGUCAAUAAAAGUAUGCAAUAUUUUUGUAAUGGCAAGCCUAAAUGAGUUGAGAGGUAAAAAUGUGCUUAAAAAGUCACAUAAUAAGUUGCCUGGACUCGCUCUGUAUACAAUGGUACUGUUUAACAUGACUACCCAAUCUCUGUACCUCACACAUACAAUUAUAUGUAAGGUCCCUAAGUCGAGCAGUGAAUUUCAAGCACAGAUUCAACUACAAAGACAAGGGGGGUUUUCUAUGUUUUGCAAAGAAGAGCACAUAUUGGAAGAAGGGUAAAAAUAAAAUAAAAAGCAGACAUUGAGCAUUGUGCGGUUAUUAAUUGUACACAUUAGAUGGUGUAUCAAUACACCCAGUCACUACAAAGAUACAGGCAUCCUUCUUAAAUCAGUUGCCGGAGAGGAAGGACACCACUCUUGGAUUUCACCAUGAGGCCAAUGGUGACUUUAAAACAGUAAUAGAGUUUAAUGGCUGUGAUAGGAGAAAACUGAGGAUGGAUCAACAACAUCGUUACUCGGCAACAGUAACAUAAAUUACAGAGUGAAAAGAAGGAAGUCUGUACAGAAUAACAAAUAUUCCAAAACAUGCAUCCUGUUUGCACUGAAGUAAUACUGCAAAAAAUGUGGCAAAUACAUAAACUUUUUGUCAUGAAUACAAACUGUUAUGUUUGGACAAAUCCAACACAUCACUGAGUACCACUCUUCAUAUUUUCAAGAAUGGUGGUGGCUGCAUCAUGUUAUGGGUUGGAAAGAACUAGGGAGGUUUUUCUUAGGAUAAAAAUAAACGGAAUAGAGCUAAGCACAGGCAAAAUCCUUGAGGAAAACCUGGUUCAGUCUGCUUUCCAA